rnacentral:rRNA from 1 species
GAUGAACGCUGGCGGCGUGCCUAAUACAUGCAAGUCGAGCGAACAGACGAGGAGCUUGCUCCUCUGACGUUAGCGGCGGACGGGUGAGUAACACGUGGAUAACCUACCUAUAAGACUGGGAUAACUUCGGGAAACCGGAGCUAAUACUGGAUAAUAUAUUGAACCGCAUGGUUCAAUAGUGAAAGACGGUUUUGCUGUUACUUAUAGAUGGAUCCGCGCCGCAUUAGCUAGUUGGUAAGGUAACGGCUUACCAAGGCAACGAUGCGUAGCCGACCUGAGAGGGUGAUCGGCCACACUGGAACUGAGACACGGUCCAGACUCCUACGGGAGGCAGCAGUAGGGAAUCUUCCGCAAUGGGCGAAAGCCUGACGGAGCAACGCCGCGUGAGUGAUGAAGGUCUUCGGAUCGUAAAACUCUGUUAUUAGGGAAGAACAAAUGUGUAAGUAACUAUGCACGUCUUGACGGUACCUAAUCAGAAAGCCACGGCUAACUGCGUG